rnacentral:misc_RNA from 1 species
UACGGAGGGUGCAAGCGUUAAUCGGAAUUACUGGGCGUAAAGCGCGCGUAGGUGGCUUGAUAAGCCGGUUGUGAAAGCCCCGGGCUCAACCUGGGAACGGCAUCCGGAACUGUCAAGCUAGAGUACAGUAGAGGGUGGUGGAAUUUCCUGUGUAGCGGUGAAAUGCGUAGAUAUAGGAAGGAACACCAGUGGCGAAGGCGACUCUCUGGUCUGUAACUGACGCUGAGGAGCGAAAGCGUGGGGAGCGAACAGG